rnacentral:rRNA from 1 species
UACGUAGGGGCCGAGCGUUGUCCGGAGUUAUUGGGCGUAAAGAGCGUGUAGGCGGCCUGACAAGUCUGCUGUGAAAACUCGAGGCUCAACCUCGAGAUGUCGGCGGAAACUGUCUGGCUAGAGUCCGGAAGAGGAGAGUGGAAUUCCUGGUGUAGCGGUGAAAUGCGCAGAUAUCAGGAAGAACACCUAUGGCGAAGGCAGCUCUCUGGGACGGUACUGACGCUGAGACGCGAAAGCGUGGGGAGCGAACAGG